rnacentral:rRNA from 1 species
UACGUAGGGUGCGAGCGUUAAUCGGAAUUACUGGGCGUAAAGCGUGCGCAGGCGGCGCCGCAAGUCGAGUGUGAAAUCCCCGAGCUUAACUUGGGAAUUGCGCUCGAAACUACGGUGCUGGAGUGUGGCAGAGGGAGGUGGAAUUCCACGUGUAGCGGUGAAAUGCGUAGAGAUGUGGAGGAACACCGAUGGCGAAGGCAGCCUCCUGGGCCAACACUGACGCCCAUGCACGAAAGCGUGGGGAGCAAACAGG